GAUGAACGACUAGCGGGAGGCUUAACACAUGUAAGUACGAGGGGCGAUCACGAGGUAGCAAUACUUUGGUGGCGACCGGCGCACGGUGAGUAACACGUAUGCAACCUACCCUGUACAGGGGGAUAACCCGGAGAAAUUCGGACUAAUAUCCCAUGCAAUUAUUGGAGGGCAUCCUUUGAUAAUUAAAGCUCAGGCGGUAUAGGAUGGGCAUGCGGAACAUUAGCUAGUUGGUAGGGUAACGGCCUACCAAGGCUACGAUGUUUAGGGGACCUGAGAGGGUUAUCCCCCACACUGGUACUGAGACACGGACCAGACUCCUACGGGAGGCAGCAGUGAGGAAUAUUGGUCAAUGGGCGCAAGCCUGAACCAGCCAUCCCGCGUGAAGGAAGAAGGCCCUAUGGGUUGUAAACUUCUUUUCCAGGGGGUGAAUAAUUCCGAUGUAUCGGGAGAUGACGGUACCCUGGGAAUAAGCAUCGGCUAACUCCGUG
rnacentral:rRNA from 1 species